CAUGCAAGUCGAACGGUAACAGGAAUUAGCUUGCUAAUUUGCUGACGAGUGGCGCACGGGUGCGUAACGCGUAUACAAUCUACCUUUUGCUGAGGGAUAGCCCAGAGAAAUUUGGAUUAAUACCUCAUAGUAUUAUUGAUAGGCAUCUAUUAAUAAUUAAAGGUUACGGCAAAAGAUGAGUAUGCGUCCCAUUAGCUAGUUGGCGAGGUAACGGCUCACCAAGGCAACGAUGGGUAGGGGUCCUGAGAGGGAGAUCCCCCACACUGGUACUGAGACACGGACCAGACUCCUACGGGAGGCAGCAGUGAGGAAUAUUGGACAAUGGGCGAGAGCCUGAUCCAGCCAUGCCGCGUGCAGGAAGACUGCCCUAUGGGUUGUAAACUGCUUUUAUACAGGAAGAAUAAGCCUUACGUGUAAGGUGAUGACGGUACUGUAAGAAUAAGGACCGGCUAACUCCGUGCCAGCAGCCGCGGUAAUACGGAGGGUCCGAGCGUUAUCCGGAAUUAUUGGGUUUAAAGGGUCCGUAGGCGGAUGAUUAAGUCAGGGGUGAAAGUUUGCAGCUCAACUGUAAAAUUGCCUUUGAUACUGGUUAUCUUGAGUUGUAUUGAAGUAGGCGGAAUAUGUAGUGUAGCGGUGAAAUGCAUAGAUAUUACAUAGAACACCAAUUGCGAAGGCAGCUUACUAAGUACUAACUGACGCUGAUGGACGAAAGCGUGGGUAGCGAACAGGAUUAGAUACCCUGGUAGUCCACGCCGUAAACGAUGGAUACUAGCUGUUCGGG
rnacentral:rRNA from 1 species